GUGCCUUCGGGAACGCUGAGACAGGUGCUGCAUGGCUGUCGUCAGCUCGUGUUGUGAAAUGUUGGGUUAAGUCCCGCAACGAGCGCAACCCUUAUCCUUUGUUGCCAGCACGUAAUGGUGGGAACUCAAAGGAGACUGCCGGUGAUAAACCGGAGGAAGGUGGGGAUGACGUCAAGUCAUCAUGGCCCUUACGAGUAGGGCUACACACGUGCUACAAUGGCAGAUACAAAGAGAAGCGACCUCGCGAGAGCAAGCGGAACUCAUAAAGUCUGUCGUAGUCCGGAUUGGAGUCUGCAACUCGACUCCAUGAAGUCGGAAUCGCUAGUAAUCGUAGAUCAGAAUGCUACGGUGAAUACGUUCCCGGGCCUUGUACACACCGCCCGUCACACCAUGGGAGUGGGUUGCAAAAGAAGUAGGUAGCUUAACCUUCGGGAGGGCGCUUACCACUUUGUGAUUCAUGACUGGGGUGAAGUCGUAACAAGGUAACCGUAGGGGAACCUGCGGUUGGAUCACCUCCUUA
rnacentral:rRNA from 1 species